UACAGAGGUCUCAAGCGUUGUUCGGAUUCAUUGGGCGUAAAGGGUGCGUAGGUGGCGGGGCAAGUUUGGUGUGAAAUCCCGGGGCUCAACCCCGGAACUGCACUGAAUACUGCUUUGCUUGAGCACUGGAGAGGGAACUGGAAUUUACGGUGUAGCAGUGAAAUGCGUAGAUAUCGUAAGGAAGACCAGUGGCGAAGGCGAGUUCCUGGACAGUUGCUGACACUGAGGCACGAAGGCUAGGGGGAGCAAACGGG
rnacentral:rRNA from 1 species